rnacentral:rRNA from 1 species
ACAGCCCCGUACACAAAAAUGCACAUGCUGUGAGCUCGAUGAGUAGGGCGGGACACGUGGUAUCCUGUCUGAAUAUGGGGGGACCAUCCUCCAAGGCUAAAUACUCCUGACUGACCGAUAGUGAACCAGUACCGUGAGGGAAAGGCGAAAAGAACCCCGGCGAGGGGAGUGAAAAAGAACCUGAAACCGUGUACGUACAAGCAGUGGGAGCACGCUUCGGCGUGUGACUGCGUACCUUUUGUAUAAUGGGUCAGCGACUUAUAUUCUGUAGCAAGGUUAACCGAAUAGGGGAGCCGAAGGGAAACCGAGUCUUAACUGGGCGUUAAGUUGCAGGGUAUAGACCCGAAACCCGGUGAUCUAGCCAUGGGCAGGUUGAAGGUUGGGUAACACUAACUGGAGGACCGAACCGACUAAUGUUGAAAAAUUAGCGGAUGACUUGUGGCUGGGGGUGAAAGGCCAAUCAAACCGGGAGAUAGCUGGUUCUCCCCGAAAGCUAUUUAGGUAGCGCCUCGUGAAUUCAUCUCCGGGGGUAGAGCACUGUUUCGGCAAGGGGGUCAUCCCGACUUACCAACCCGAUGCAAACUGCGAAUACCGGAGAAUGUUAUCACGGGAGACACACGGCGGGUGCUAACGUCCGUCGUGAAGAGGGAAACAACCCAGACCGCCAGCUAAGGUCCCAAAGUCAUGGUUAAGUGGGAAACGAUGUGGGAAGGCCCAGACAGCCAGGAUGUUGGCUUAGAAGCAGCCAUCAUUUAAAGAAAGCGUAAUAGCUCACUGGUCGAGUCGGCCUGCGCGGAAGAUGUAACGGGGCUAAACCAUGCACCGAAGCUGCGGCAGCGACGCUUAUGCGUUGUUGGGUAGGGGAGCGUUCUGUAAGCCUGUGAAGGUGUACUGUGAGGUAUGCUGGAGGUAUCAGAAGUGCGAAUGCUGACAUAAGUAACGAUAAAGCGGGUGAAAAGCCCGCUCGCCGGAAGACCAAGGGUUCCUGUCCAACGUUAAUCGGGGCAGGGUGAGUCGACCCCUAAGGCGAGGCCGAAAGGCGUAGUCGAUGGGAAACAGGUUAAUAUUCCUGUACUUGGUGUUACUGCGAAGGGGGGACGGAGAAGGCUAUGUUGGCCGGGCGACGGUUGUCCCGGUUUAAGCGUGUAGGCUGGUUUUCCAGGCAAAUCCGGAAAAUCAAGGCUGAGGCGUGAUGACGAGGCACUACGGUGCUGAAGCAACAAAUGCCCUGCUUCCAGGAAAAGCCUCUAAGCAUCAGGUAACAUCAAAUCGUACCCCAAACCGACACAGGUGGUCAGGUAGAGAAUACCAAGGCGCUUGAGAGAACUCGGGUGAAGGAACUAGGCAAAAUGGUGCCGUAACU